AAACCUUCGCAAUGCGCGCAAGCGCGACGAGGUUAUUCCGAGUGAUUUCCGCUGAGGAAAUCUUUUCUCAGAUCUAAAUAGUCUGGGGAAUAAGGGGAGGGCAAGUCUGGUGUCAGCCGCCGCGGUAAUACCAGCUCCUCGAGUGGUCAGGGCGUUUAUUGGGCCUAAAGCAUCCGUAGCCGGCUCAGUUGGUCUCCUGUUAAAUCCAACGGCUUAACCGUUGGUCUGCAGGAGAUACCGCUGGGCUAGGAGGCGGGAGAGGCGGACGGUACUCCGAGGGUAGGGGUAAAAUCCUUUGAUCCCCGGAAGACCACCAGUGGCGAAGGCGGUCCGCCAGAACGCGCUCGACGGUGAGGGAUGAAAGCUGGGGGAGCGAACCGG
rnacentral:rRNA from 1 species